UACGAAGGGUGCAAACGUUGCUCGGAAUUAUUGGGCGUAAAGCGCACGUAGGCGGCAUUGCAAGUCGGAUGUGAAAUCCCUCGGCUUAACCAGGGAAGUGCAUCCGAAACUGCAGUGCUUGAGUACUUAAGAGGAUCGCGGAAUUCCCGGUGUAGAGGUGAAAUUCGUAGAUAUCGGGAGGAACACCAGUGGCGAAGGCGGCGAUCUGGGAAGAUACUGACGCUGCGGUGCGAAAGCGUGGGGAGCAAACAGG
rnacentral:rRNA from 1 species